rnacentral:lncRNA from 1 species
AUUGUUUGCUUUUGGAGUCUGAAAGGGCAAGAGUCAAGACUCAGGAAAGCUCACAGGACGCCUGCCGUAAGGUAGCCCUGCAUUCACUGUAUCACAGGCAAAGAGUUAGUGAAGAAGUGAGAGCUGAUGAAAACCCCAGCAGAAAGUGGCAUGAAACGGUUAAAGCAAAGAGAAGCUAGAUAGAACUGAUGAACCAGAUCUGAGAUGUUGCAGUGGUCCCUGUUAGAAUAAUCCAUGACUGUGACCCAGUUCAUUACCAGCCUGUGAAAGCCUGUCAUCACUGAAAGUGACAUUGUGGACGGUCUCCCAAGAAUUACUGAUUAACUUCCUGGGAAUGGUUUGACUGAUUUAUGCACUACACUUGCAUUAUCCCAAGUGACUGAUCAACACUGCAUUUUUUCAGAAGACUUAACUUGGUUGGGGAGAUGGUAAAGUGUUGCCAAACUGACAAACUCAAGAGUCUGGAUCACCAUGUCAGAGCAUAGUAUUGUGUGUUUUUACAGCAAUUACUGGCAAUUAUAGUCACUGUUUUUAAUGUUA